rnacentral:lncRNA from 1 species
CCCUGUCUAGACAGCUAGACUUAAUAACAUGCCAUAAAUACAUAAAAAGGGGAAAUGCACCGAUAUCCUACUGACCUGACCAUCUCUGACUGGUGACCAACUCUGAGUGAGCCUUAUCGUUAACAUUUGGGUUUCUGUGUCAUCGUUUGUGUUAAACAGAGCAUACCUUACUCCCAAAGUGGGUUAUUCUCUUCUCUCCUCUCUCUCUCUCUUCCCCGUGCUACUCAAAACCAACCAAUGGUUUCAUUCUCUCAUCAUGAAGUGUGCGUGUGUGUUAUUGACCACAAAGGACAGGUAGAACUUUGACGUUUCCCAACGCCGACGCCUAUCUGACUGCAGCGAGCAGCCAUGACGGCUCGAGACACGGCUCACCUCACGCGCAGCUUCUGUCUGAGAAUAAAUGAAAUAUGCCGAAGUGGGACGUCGCCCAUGGUAUACCGAUUUAAGAAAUCGUUGAGUGUGAAUGUGAAGUGGGCUUGUUGGAGAGCUGGUCUGGAUCGAAGGCGUGGUGGCAUUGGGGGGUCUGGUCUGCUGCAGCACAACGACGCUGUUGCCUCUAUUCUCUUUGAGAUACCUUCAAUGCAACUGAUGAGAGGAUCUGUGGACCAGAUGGGAGGAGAAGAAAGAGAAAGAAUAUGGUACCAUACCAUCCACUGGCAUAUUAUAAGGCUGUUUAUGUUGAACAAUUUGACAGGCUUAGACCACAUUGGAAUGUAUUCGCUAACUGGAGAAAAA